AGGUAAUGAGAAUCAUCCUCAUAUUUUUCCAUUAUCAUAUGAUAUGAUAUAAUAGUGUGGUGAUCAGCUUGAGUCUGAGGUGGAGUUCCUGUGUUGUGUUGCUUGCAGCUGGGCAUCUAUGGCAAAAAAUGAUCUUCGUGGGCGAGCUCCUAAUGCUAUCAAGAACCGGUGGAACAACCACUUAAAGAAGAGGCAUGCGAUUAUAAGUGACCUUAGGCGACACCUCCUCUACCUAGAGGAACACCUCAUGGAUGAUAAGGCUAGUGAUUACUCUGUCCGGGGAGGUGACCUUAAGGCUUUGAUGGCUGAGUUUGCUUCUUUGAUUCCCAACGUUGAUCCAAAUGAGACUAGUGAUCACUCUAUCCGGGGAGAUGACCUUGAGGCUUUGAUGGCCAAGUUUGCUUCUUUGAUUCCCAAUGUUGACCCAAAUGAGAGUAGUGAUCACUCUAUCCGGGAAGAUGACCUUGAGGCUUUGAUGGCCAAGUUUGCUUCUUUGAUUCCCAACGUUGAUGCAAAUGAGACUAGUGAUCGCUCUAUCCGGGGAGAUGACCUUGAGGCUUUGAUGGCCAAGUUUGCUUCUUUGAUUCCCAAUGUUGACCCAAAUGAAAGUAGUGAUCACUCUAUCCGGGAAGAUGACCUUGAGGCUUUGAUGGCCAAGUUUGCUUCUUUGAUUCCCAACGUUGAUCCAAAUGAGACUAGUGAUCACUCUAUCCGGGGAGAUGACCUUGAGGCUUUGAUGGCCAAGUUUGCUUCUUUGAUUCCCAACGUUGAUCCAAAUGAGACUAGUGAUCACUCUAUCCGGGGAGAUGACCUUGAGGCUUUGAUGGCCAAGUUUGCUUCUUUGAUUCCCAACGUUGAUCCAAGUGCAAUUAGUUCGAUUCCUGAAUACACCAGCUGAAGAAAUCGCCAAGUUAAAGUGUAAUGAGAGUCCAAAGUACUAUGUCUUUGAGUGUCCUAUAUAUGUAUAUAUAUGUUUGCUGCUAAAUCAAGCAUCAU
rnacentral:lncRNA from 1 species